GGGCCACCUAUGGCUACCCAUGGACCAAUCGGCACAUACUUUCUCUCCUCUGAGGCCCAUAAAAGCCCUGGGCUCAGCCAGAACUAAGCAGAUAUCUGGAUGACCAGCUGCAGAGAAGAGCUACUCAUUCCAGGGCCUCCUCUCUGCUGAGAGCAGCAGACAUCAGGACAACCAGCUGCAGAGAGGAGCUACCCACUCCAGGGCCUCCUUUCUGAUGAGAGCUGCAGAGACAAUGGGACAACCUGUCUGCAGAGAAAAGGAAUACAACAUGUUUAAGACCACAGGACAUCUGCAUAGGCUGUAAAUUUCGUUAAAUGAUGGAUGCAAAGAUGGAAGACAGAUGGAGAGAGGAAAAGACAGAAUCAGAUACUGGAUGAGUUAGUACUGCUGCCUGUGCUUCAGAGCUGUCUUGUUACCACAAGGCCGGCAAGCAUCAAUGUCCCCACAUCCCCCUCUGCCUCCCCCUGAAAUGUACCGAUUUAUAUGAAAAUUAAGAUUACAAAUUAAAGCCUGGCUAUCCUGGAGUUUUCCAGUUCAUCAGCCAUCCAAUAAAAAUGAUGUCAAGCCUGUAUGCAUAAUUCCCAGAAGAUUACUUUCGUCCUUACAGCUAAGCCCUGUCCCUGAUAUGAAAGAUCUCUAUCCACUUUUAUUGAAAUAAAGAACUAACAUCAUAAUCCCA
rnacentral:antisense_RNA from 1 species